rnacentral:rRNA from 1 species
AGAGUUUGAUCCUGGCUCAGGAUUAACGCUGGCGGCAUGCCUUAUGCAUGCAAGUAGAACGAGUCUCGCAAGAGACUAGUUGCGAACGGCUGAGUAAUGGAUAGGAAUCUCCCCAAUGGUGUGGAAUACCUCAUCGAAAGAUGAGCUAAUACCACAUGACCUCGCAAGAGAAAAGCAGGUAACUCUGCGCCGAUGGAUGAGCCUAUCUCCCAUCAGGCUGUUGGUAGGGUAAUGGCCUACCAAACCUAUGACGGGUACCCGCCCUGAGAGGGGAAACGGGCAGAAUGGGACUGAGACACGGCCCAUACACCUACGGGUGGCAGCAACAGGGAAUCGUACGCAAUGGACGAAAGUCUGACGUCGCAAUGCCGCGUGGAGGAUGAAGGCCUUCGGGUCGUAAACUCCUUUUACAGUAAGAGAGAUGUUACUGAGAAUAAGCACCUGCUAACUCUGUGCCAGCAGCCGCGGUAAUACAGAGGGUGCAAGCGUUAUCCGGAUUUAUUGGGCGUAAAGCGUUUCGUAGGCUGGUUUGUAAGUUACUCUUCAAAGACUACGGCUUAACCGGAGGAAGGGGGGUAAUACUGCGAGCCUUGAAAUAUGGUGGGGCUUCUGGAACUGAUGGUGUAGUAGUGAAAUACGUUGAUAUCAUCAGGAACUCCAAGGGCGAAGGCAGGAAGCUAACCAUUUUUUGACGCUGAGGAACGACAGCUAGGGGAGCGAAAGGGACUAGAGACCCCUGUAGUCCUAGCCGUAAACUUUGCUCGCUAGGGGUUGGGCCGUAAGGCUUGGCCCCGUAAGCUAACGCGUUAAGCGAGCCGCCUGGGGAGUACGACCGCAAGGUUAAAACUCAAAGGAAUUGACGGGGACCCGCACAACCAGUGGAGCAUGUGGUUUAAUUCGAGACAAAACGAAGAACCUUACCCAGUUUUGACAUGCUACCGUACAUGAACCCAGAAAUGGGAUCAAAUCUAAAUUUAUUUGGAUGGUAGCACAGGUGUUGCAUGGCCGUCGUCAGCUCGUGCCGUAGGGUGUUCCCUUCAGUGGGGUAACGAGCGCAACCCUUGCCGUUAGUUGAAUAUUCUAACGGGACUACUUGAAUUUAUUUCAGGUGGAAGUGAGGAUGAUGUCAGGUCCGCAUGGCCCUUAUGACUGGGGCUACACACAUGCUACAAUGGAGCCGACAGAGGGUAGCCAAGCCGUAAGGCGGAGCUAACCCCAUCAAACGGCUUCUCAGUGGGGAUUGAGGGCUGCAAUUCGCCCUCAUGAACGCGGAAUUGGUAGUAAUCGCGCAUCAGCUAUGGCGCGGUGAAUACGUUCUCGGGUCUUGUACACACCGCCCGUCAAGUCAGCAAAGUUGGAGAUACCUUAAGUUCGGAUGUUCCGGACCAAGGUAGAAUCAGCGAUGAGGAUUAAGUCG